AUGUCUCCGCGGCCUGCAGUGAGACAAUCCACUUUUGUUGUUGAUUUUGAUGAAUUUAGUGCAGUAAAAUCUCAAAUUAGUAUGCUUUGCGGCUUGUUUGAGCACAGUGAAGAACCACCUCAAGAAAUUCAGAAUCCCAGUCAACUUGUCAGCGCGGAGAGAAAAAACGGCGUCAACAACAACACAAAUGCAGAUCCAGGGGUGGCCGAAGCUGGAGUGGAGUUGCUCUCCUCCAUGGCGCUCCACCUCGGUGGCUGUGCGGGUCAUAGGAGUUUUUUUUUUCUUUUUUUGGAUUUUGGAUGUGCAGUGCACACGGAUCAUGCGAGCAGUGCACCCGGAUCACGCGAGGAGUUAAUUGCAGCGUGA
rnacentral:rRNA from 1 species